rnacentral:rRNA from 1 species
AUUGAACGCUGGCGGCAGGCCUAACACAUGCAAGUCGAACGAGUGGCGGACGGGUGAGUAAUGUAUGGGAAACUGCCUGCUGGAGGGGGAUAACUACUGGAAACGGUAGCUAAUACCGCAUACCAUCAGAUGUGCCCAGAUGGGAUUAGCAUGUUGGUGGGGUAACGGCUCACCAAGGCGAAGAUCCCUAGCUGGUCUGAGAGGAGGACCAGCCACACUGGAACUGAGCCACGGUCCAGACGCCUCCGGGAGGCAGCAGUGGGGAGUAUUGCACAAUGGGCGCCAGCCUGAUGCAGCCAUGCCGCGUGGAUGAAGUAGGCCUUCGGGUUGUAAAGUACUUUCAGCGGGGAGGCGUUACCCGCAGAAGAAGCCCCGGCUAACUCCGUGCCAGCCGCCGCGGUAAUUC